UGAGACAGGGACGGUGAGAGAGCCCGGGACAGAAAUGUGACUAAGUCUGGAACCACAAUCAGAGUUGGGACAACAGCUCCCGGAGCCCAGGCCUACACUCCCACGGUUGACAGAGCAGUUGGCGGUGACAGCAGCAACACAGCAAACACAUGGGCCCAGCCAGGCCCAGGCACUUGUGGAACCGCCAACAGGCUGAAGCUGCCACAGGAGAGCGAAAGGGGGAUUGCCAAGCAGCAAUGGGACCCCAUCUGAGCCUGAAAGAGAAAUCUGUCAAGGGGCCCAUGUAUCAGGUUGAGUUUACUCCCUCCAGCUGCACUCAGCAGCUUCCCUUUCCAAAGGGAAAACAACCUGGCCAAAUUUAGCGAUGUCCUUAGCCCAGUGCUGCUCACAGGUCACCCAUGGGACACAUCCAGGAAGAGCGUCCCUCCAUUCCCCACCUGGGGCUCCAUGGACAACCCACCAUCGUUGAGCUGGCAUCUUCAAUCCAGGAGAAGGUCCACGAUGCCAUGAGAAUCCCAAAGGCAUGUGUGACUCACAAGACAGUAAAGCCCCUGACUCAGGUCCUUGGAGGAAGAAGUGCCUCCUGCUGGGCUGUGCCCUCCCACGAGACCCGGUCUGCCCCCCCUCUGGGUUUCUUCCACUGCUAUGGCUCUGCAGGCAGACUGUCCCCAGAGCCAUCUGGAGCUGUGUGCCUCGCUGCUCACCUGGACACAGCGCUGCGCCUCUAUCGACUGCCCUAGUUAAGAGCUGUUGAGCUGACUGCAGAGACCGAGUCUGCACCUGCCCCCUCCAGAGGUGGCCAGGCUUAGAGGUGGGGU